AAUUAUAAACUUUUUUCAAACUUGGUCUUACUCUUGGUCCUUCUUAUUAUAUUUGCCCAUUCUCAAGGAACUUUAGUUAGCAAGAAAUUAAAUUGUGAAGAUAUUAAAAAUUGUGAAGACUGCCUUCAACUUUUUAACAACACCCAAAGUAAAUGUUUAUGGUGCAGUAGCACUAGCAGUUGCCUAAACGUAGCUGCUCGCAAUUCGUGUGAAAAGGAGUACAGAGUUACUUGUCCGGACAAUGUUGCUCAAUUUUGGGAUAAGAACAAGAAUACUAUAAUUGCUGUUCUUUCUGUGGUAGGAGGGCUUUUUGUAGUUGGGGCUAUAAUCUGGAUUUAUUUCCUUUGUCGAAAAGCCCACAAGAAAAAAAGGAUGAAAUGGUUGGCCCUACAACAGCAAAAUGCCGAAAAAGAGUCCGAAGAAAGGCAAACCAGACUUGAAGAGAAAAAGGCAAAAAACCAAGAGAAAUAUCAGAUGCUCCGUAAAAAGUACGACAUUUCUUAAAGUUGGCAACAAGUAUGAGGGAAAGAUUUUUAAAA